rnacentral:lncRNA from 1 species
UACACUUUUUUUUUCAUUUUCGUAACCCUUGGACGCGUGUAGGUUUGAAUUUCAAUUAUUAUUAAUCAGUAGAUGGAAAGAGAAGAAAUUCGUAGAAACUGCGCGGAAAGAUAUUUAAUUCAUAGUGAUUUGGAUGGAUCUUUCGUACGAAGAAUUUGGAAUUUUGGAUACGCAUCCACAAUCCUUCCCCUUCCUAGGAAUUCAUAUUUUUUAAUUUGGAUUACCAAUACGUCUUCUGAUCAUCUCUUUAAAUUCAUGUUGAAGGGGUCUCGCCACUUUGUGCCUCACUCAGUGGAUAUCACCUCUUCUAAUGGAAGAAUUCUUCAUUGUGAAGAUGCCCUUUACAUCAAGAUUUUCUACAGAAUCAUCGCAUACUUCUACAUAUAAGAACUAUUACUAUGGAGUUUCAUAAAAUGAGAAAAUAAUAGACUGAAAGAUCCAGUGAGGAACAAAGAGAGUUUUCAUUCUCCAUCCACUGCCUGUUCAUUGAAGUUUCUCUUCAAGUCAUCUCUGCUUCGUCUCCUAUUUUGAGUAGUAGGGAAAAAAAUCUGAAUUCAGCUCCUAAUCUAGAUAGGUGGGUGAAAACUAACAAAAUUUCAAACUCAUACCGAGAAAGGUUCUCAAUUUCAUUUAUUUAUAGUGGGUUGGGCUAAAACAUUGAAAAAAAGCUUUUUACAAUCACAUCCACAAACUUUAAUGUGACAUAACUGAAUUCAGUUUCGAUUCCUCCCACCCAAGUUUAUUUUCGUUAAACAAGUAGAAUCAUAUAAUAAUUAAAUAUUAUCAAAUUAAAAUCCACUUAUAAAUAGUGAUAAAAAUACUUCCAGCACACACACUUCUAGUGUAAUAAUAUACACUCGCAAGAAAAGAAUUAUAUAAAAUACAAAAAAAAAAAAUUAAAUAGUCAAAUUAAUAACACAAUUUAAUAAUAAAUACAAUAACCCGAAGGCAUUGAUGAAAUGUAAUUUCAUGUCAUUGAAAGCUAUAAAUCAAUGUGGCAUCACAAUACAAUUCAUUAUCGUCAUUCUAGGGUGAAUUACUAUUGUUAAUUUGACUAUAUUGAGACGUUUCAAUUGUCCUAGGUAUCUUCUAUUCGCAUGUUCAUAUAGCAAGCUUAUUGUACUCCUUAUUAAGUUUAAAAACUCCUUAAUGGUCAAUUAGAUACGUUGAUUAUUUAGUUGUCGACCUAAAAAUGUUUAAAUUACACUCAUCAAAAGUCUAGACUCUAGAUCCUUGUAUUAAGUGUAAGAUGAUGUUCAUAUGAUGCGAAUGUUCAACUGAUGUAGCACUUCAGAAUGAUUACCAAGAGUGUGCACAUUUGACGGCAAUCCAGAUAACCGGUUUAGGGAAAAACUGUUUCAUUGAUAAGUAUCCUUGAUGUACACAACGCAGAAAUAACUCAUCCCAAUCACAUUGACAUCAUUUCCAUUUAUAAAUUGGAGUUUGUAAUGUAUGGUCUUUAUGGAUAAUUAUAUAAUCUGGACACUUUAAGCAUCACCCCUGAAUAGUGAUUUUUUUUAUUACUUGUGACUCUCUUAUGUGAUAGGAAAACAAGUGGAAGAUGAUUCUAGACUUUUAAAAGAUAACAUGCUUUAUAGUUUUUUCUGCAAAACAUAUUAUAUUCUGAUAUAGCAUAUAAAUAGUUAUUGUAUCUUGUAUCAAAUCAUCCUAUACUUACAUAUACUAUUGAACUGAAGAAUUACACUAAGAAAAAUAUAAUAGAAGAUAUAGUGAGGAACAAAGAAAGUUAUAUUCUCAUCUUCCGCUCACAGCUCCUUCAUUAAAACUCUAGUAUUCAAUCCUCUUAAAGUCAACUCCGCUUUAACUUCUUAAAAGUAAACUCUUUCCAUGAUAAGAAUUCUUGAAUUUCUUUAAUGCAUAUGACUCGCGAAUCAUUACUGAAUAUGAUAUCAUAAAUAUCAAUUCUGUUUAUAAGUUUGAAUUCGUCCUGUACUACCAAUAUGGAGAAUUAUACAUCUUGAACACUGUUAUAUUUAACUUUUUUGUCUUAG